GGAUGUGAGGGUGAUCUGGCUGCAACAUCUGUCACCCCAUUGAUUGCCAGGGUUGAUUCGGCUGAUCUGGCUGGGUGGGCAGGUGUCCCUUCCUCCCUCACUGCUCCAUGUUCAUCCCUUCCCGAAGCUGCUUGCUGGGUCAAAAAGGAUGGCCUUUCCCGAAUAGAGAAGGUCCAGUCUUCUGGUUGAGAGUAUACAAGUAGCUGCACUCCCCUGCUAGAACCUCUAACAAGUCCUCAAAGAUGCCUACUUCCUGGCUGCUUUGUCCCUGUCUGUAUGAUUUAUUCCAUAUGAACAUAGCUCCAAGUACAGAGUCAAGAGUUGAAAAAGCCAAAUGU
ensembl:misc_RNA 7SK 7SK RNA